rnacentral:lncRNA from 1 species
UAUGGAUUGACCAGUCAUUUCGAGCUCAGUCUGUUCCACUGCAUUUAUCAGGAAUUGAUUCAGAUGAGCAGUUCAUCUUACCACCCUGCCUGCGUCUUCAUGGGCUGGGAGACAGCACGUGUCACCUCCAGCAUCUGCCGUGGGUACCGUGAUCAGAUAUCCUGACCAAGGGAGGAAGUCUUGCUGGGUUGGGAGACAGCUCCAUAUUCAAAGAGGCACAAAACUUCCUUCACUGUGAAGUGCAGCCUCCAAGCAGUGAUGUAACAGAGAAGAUGAUGUGUUCAUGGUGGUAACCACACAACUCAACUGAUGAAAUCAAGAUGGUCUUUGGUACAGGAGUCUUUGCAGUCCCAUCUCUUUGAGUGCAGUCCUCAAAAUGUGGUAAAAAAGAAUUGCAUUGAUCACAUUUCUCACAAUACAUCUAAGAGAAAACAUGCGAAGGAUGAGAAACAUUUAACACCCUCUGGCCCUCCCAUUCUGCAUUUCGGAUGACUGACAUUGUCUCCAGCCUCCUCUCAGCACAAUGAACAUCCCGGUGACUAAUCCAUGUGCCACAUCUGUUGCUGUGAUCAGAGGAGACAGGACCAGGACACAGAAGAAUAUCCGCCUAUUAGCUAUUUCAACUUUCCUGAGCCGUUUGAAGGGGAAACGUGUCCUGGCACAGAAAGCAGAGCUGCAGCGGUCCCACUGCUCAAAGGUGCUGAGGUAUCUUCAGCCAGUGGGGCUCUUCCAUCAAAGGACUCCGUGUCUACACAGACAUGCCAAAAUUGUGGUGGUAACAUUGCAGAUGUGAUUUCCUGUAUCAAAAGGUGGUGCUUUGUUCCUAGCAGGUGGACUGGAUCAGAAAGUUGUUGAAUAAUUAAAGCCACUUUACAUCAAGGCUGAUCCAUAGAGGAAGGCAUUUUGCAUGUGAAAAGCUGCAAAGGGUGGAAGACUUUGGGGUAUCAGCAGUCAGCAGUGAGCAACUGAGAUUGGUAAUGCUACAGUAAGCUGCCUCCUUUGCACAGCUCUACAGGAUCAUGGAAGGAGGCCAAUUGCUGGAUUUCUGUACUUUAUCUUGAUUAAACGGCUGUUUCAAUUUGGUAUUCACUCCUUUCAUAUUUGUAAUCACUUUAAGAUUUUCAUUUUAUAGUAUUCACUUAUUUAACUGCUUGUUUCCUGCCAAGUCUAAAAAAAGAAAGGCUUUUCCCUCCCUUCUCCUUUCCAAGCUGCAAUAAAGGCAAGAGUUUACACA